UGGGCUCCGGGAGUGAGGCCUCUGGGUCACCUCCCACCCGUGUCUAUCGUACCUUGUUGCUUCGGCGGGCCCGCCGUUUCGACGGCCGCCGGGGAGGCCUUGCGCCCCCGGGCCCGCGCCCGCCGAAGACCCCAACAUGAACGCUGUUCUGAAAGUAUGCAGUCUGAGUUGAUUAUCGUAAUCAGUUAAAACUUUCAACAACGGAUCUCUUGGUUCCGGCAUCGAUGAAGAACGCAGCGAAAUGCGAUAAGUAAUGUGAAUUGCAGAAUUCAGUGAAUCAUCGAGUCUUUGAACGCACAUUGCGCCCCCUGGUAUUCCGGGGGGCAUGCCUGUCCGAGCGUCAUUGCUGCCCUCAAGCACGGCUUGUGUGUUGGGCCCCCGUCCCCCUCUCCCGGGGGACGGGCCCGAAAGGCAGCGGCGGCACCGCGUCCGGUCCUCGAGCGUAUGGGGCUUUGUCACCUGCUCUGUAGGCCCGGCCGGCGCCAGCCGACACCCAACUUUAUUUAAGGUUGACCUCGGAUCAGGUAGGGAUACCCGCUGAACUUAAGCAUAUCAAAAGCCGGGAGGAAAACUUGUAAGCCCUCUGUUUCAACCCUAUAAGAUCAGACAUCAACUUCUACCACUUAAAGUGCAUUAACAAACCAUGUAUACUUCCAUUGCAUCACACUAACC
rnacentral:sRNA from 1 species